AAAACCAGGACGAACGCUGGCGGCGUGCCUAAUACAUGCAAGUCGAGCGGACUGAUGGGAGCUUGCUCCCUGAUGUUAGCGGCGGACGGGUGAGUAACACGUGGGCAACCUGCCUGUAAGACUGGGAUAACUCCGGGAAACCGGGGCUAAUACCGGAUAACCCGUUCCACCUCAUGGUGGAGCGGUAAAAGAUGGCCUCUGGCUAUCACUUACAGAUGGGCCCGCGGCGCAUUAGCUAGUUGGUAAGGUAACGGCUUACCAAGGCGACGAUGCGUAGCCGACCUGAGAGGGUGAUCGGCCACACUGGGACUGAGACACGGCCCAG
rnacentral:rRNA from 1 species